CAGUAGCCACGGUAAUACGAAGGGUGCAAGCGUUACUCGGAAUUACUGGGCGUAAAGCGUGCGUAGGUGGUGGUUUAAGUCCGUUGUGAAAGCCCUGGGCUCAACCUGGGAAUUGCAGUGGAUACUGGGUCACUAGAGUGUGGUAGAGGAUAGUGGAAUUUCCGGUGUAGCAGUGAAAUGCGUAGAGAUCGGAAGGAACAUCUGUGGCGAAGGCGACUAUCUGGGCCAACACUGACACUGAGGCACGAAAGCGUGGGGAGCAAACAGGAUUAGAUACCCCUGUAGUCCCUGUCUCUUAUAA
rnacentral:rRNA from 1 species